rnacentral:rRNA from 1 species
UGAAACUGGCAGACUAGAGUACUGUAGAGGGGGGUAGAAUUUCAGGUGUAGCGGUGAAAUGCGUAGAGAUCUGAAGGAAUACCGGUGGCGAAGGCGGCCCCCUGGACAGAUACUGACACUCAGAUGCGAAAGCGUGGGGAGCAAACAGGAUUAGAUACCCUGGUAGUCCACGCCGUAAACGAUGUCUACUUGGAGGUUGUGGCCUUGAGCCGUGGCUUUCGGAGCUAACGCGUUAAGUAGACCGCCUG